CUGGGUAUAGCUCAGGGGUAGAGCAUUUGACUACAGACCAAAAAGUCCUUAGUUUAAAUCUGGGUGCCCUGU
rnacentral:tRNA from 1 species